rnacentral:lncRNA from 1 species
GUCUGCCCAUCUGUCUAACCCUGUUAAAAACUCAACAUCAGGGGCCGUAUUCACAAAGCAUUUUAUCUUACCGCUAGGAGUGCUCCUAACUCGCGCUAAAACAUUUUACGUAGGAGUUUUUUCUUAAAAGUUAAUCACAAAGCCGCUGAGACCUACUCUUACUAAGGAUGAAUCACUAAGAGUGACGCGCCGUUGCUAUGGAUUACGUCGAUUCUCGUGCACGAGUUAGGAGCGGUCAGUGCGGUGAUUGGUUGUUCAGACGAGCCCACUAAAUCACAGAAAAACAAGGAAAUAGCCUAGGCUAGAAAUGAAUUCCUAUUAAGUAGUUAUGGACAGUGCAGUUAGCAGAAUACACGCAUGAUGACAAGUGAAACCCAAGCGAAAGGCCAAUUGGUCCCAGGACCAAUUGCUACUACUUGCCCAGUUUGUCCUGGAGCGGAGGGGGGUAAUAAAGGGUAGAUUCGGGGCUGGAAUGACCAGUAAGAAGAAGCGGGAGGCAUGGGAAGAAAUUUGCGUGAACAUAAAUGCUUCCUUCCCUGCUGUGUGUCGCUCUACAGACGAUUGCGAAAAACGUUGGUAUGCCCUUCAAUCACAGUGUAGGUUGGAGAUUGCCGACUAUAAAAGAACUGUCGCGGCUACAGGAUCUGCAAUAAAGCCGUUUUCCCCGGUCGCAUCGGUGGUGUACGCCGUCCUAGGCUCGGACAUAAGCAUAACUGGCCUUGAGGGUGCAGCUGAUCCUGCAGUCGAGUUGCUAAAGGAGAUUGAGGGGUAUGCAUGCAAUGAUUGCAAUAGGCUAUAUGAAAAACGAUGUGUUACAAAUGAAAUAUAUAUAUUCCCCACAGGAGAAAUGAAGAUCAAAGUCCAGCUGCAGCUGCAGCAUCGAUUCACACAGCUCUUCCUCUUCUCCCCCUCCUAGCCCUUCCUCUGCCAGCUCUUCCUCUUCCAGCUGCACCUCCUCUCACAGCUCUUCCUCUUCCAGCUGCACCUCCUCUCACAGCUCUUCCUCUUCCUGCUCUUCCUCUUCCAACUCUCCCUCUUGGUGCACCCACUGCCUCUCCUCUCCCUCCUGCUGCUGGUGCCAGUUCACUGUUGGAGAAGAAAUUGAGGAUGGAAAUGAGGGUUUUAAAAAGGCAAAGAAAGGUCCUCAAAGCGAAAUAGCGGCUAAAAAAAUAAAGACUGAAUAUUACAGUCUUAAGAUAGAAAAAUUGAAAAAUCAAAAGAAA